rnacentral:rRNA from 1 species
UACGGGAGGCAGCAGUGGGGAAUCUUGGACAAUGGGCGCAAGCCUGAUCCAGCCAUGCCGCGUGAGUGAUGAAGGCCUUAGGGUCGUAAAGCUCUUUCGCCAGGGAUGAUAAUGACAGUACCUGGUAAAGAAACCCCGGCUAACUCCGUGCCAGCAGCCGCGGUAAUACGGAGGGGGUUAGCGUUGUUCGGAAUUACUGGGCGUAAAGCGCGCGUAGGCGGAUUAGUCAGUUAGAGGUGAAAUCCCGGGGCUCAACCCCGGAACUGCCUUUAAUACUGCUAGUCUUGAGUUCGAGAGAGGUGAGUGGAAUUCCGAGUGUAGAGGUGAAAUUCGUAGAUAUUCGGAGGAACACCAGUGGCGAAGGCGGCUCACUGGCUCGAUACUGACGCUGAGGUGCGAAAGUGUGGGGAGCAAACAGGAUUAGAUACCCUGGCAGUCCACACCGUAAACGAUGAAUGCCAGUCGUCGGGUAGCAUGCUAUUCGGUGACACACCUAACGGAUUAAGCAUUCCGCCUGGGGAGUACGGUCGCAAGAUUAAAACUCAAAUGAAUUGACGGGG